rnacentral:lncRNA from 1 species
UCACAUUUGCUCCACUGGUAACCUACACUCACUCCACCUCUCUCUUCUCAUGAUUACUCUGCACAUAUAUAUCGACUGACAAAGAAAAGGAAGGGGAAAAAAGAAGAAAAAAGGGACAGACCCCUCACAUCACUCACAGGCUCUCUCUCUCUCUCUCUCUCUCUCUCUCUCUCAUCUCUCCAAAAACGAAAGAAAAAGAAAAAAAGAAAAAGAAAAGGAAAACGAGGAACGAUUGUUCCUCUUGUUCAACCUCUUCACUCAUUAACUUCACCGCCCGCGAUUCAUCACAACAAACGACCACCAUCGCGCUCUUUCAUCUUGUGCACCAUUC